rnacentral:rRNA from 1 species
UAGUCCACGCCCUAAACGAUGUAUGCUUGGUGUUCCUACUACGUAGGAGUGCCGGAGGUAACCCGUUAAGCAUACCACCUGGGGAGUACGAUCGCAAGGUUGAAACUCAAAGGAAUUGACGGGGGCCCGCACAAGCGGUGGAUUAUGUGGUUUAAUUCGAUGCAACGCGAAGAACCUUGCCAAGGCUUGAAGUGCAGUGGACCGCUCCUGAAAGGGAGUUUUCUUUCGAGACUGCUGCAGAGGUGCUGCACGGCUGUCGUCAGCUCGUGCCGUGAGGUGUUGGGUUAAGUCCCGCAACGAGCGCAACCCCUAUCUUUAGUUGCCAUCAGGUUAAGCUGGGAACUCUAAAGAGACUGCCCGCGCAAGCGGUGAGGGAAGGCGGGGACGACGUCAAGUCAUCAUGGCCCUUACGUCUUGGGGCUACACACGUAAUACAAUGGGCAGGGCACAGAAGGCGAAGCCGCGAGGUGGAGAUAAUCCC